AUUGAACGCUGGCGGCAGGCCUAACACAUGCAAGUCGAACGGUAACAGAAAGCAGCUUGCUGCUUUGCUGACGAGUGGCGGACGUGUGAGUAAUGUCUGGGAAACUGCCUGAUGGAGGGGGAUAACUACUGGAAACGGUAGCUAAUACCGCAUAACGUCUCAAGCCCAAAGAGGGGGACCUUCGGGCCUCUUUCCAUCGGAUUUUCCCAGAUGGGAUUAGCUAGUAGGUGGGGUAACGGCUCACCUAGGCGACGAUCCCUAGCUGGUCUGAGAGGAUGACCAGCCACACUGGAACUGAGACACGGUCCAGACUCCUACGGGAGGCAGCAGUGGGGAAUAUUGCACAAUGGGCGCAAGCCUGAUGCAGCCAUGCCGCGUGUAUGAAGAAGGCCUUCGGGUUGUAAAGUACUUUCAGCGGGGAGGAAGGGAGUAAAGUUAAUACCUUUGCUCAUUGACGUUACCCGCAGAAGAAGCACCGGCUAACUCCGUG
rnacentral:rRNA from 1 species